GGAAAGUCGGCAGUGGACGGAUACCUUGCCAACCCCGGUCAGGUCCGGAAGGAAGCAGCCAUGACAAGUUUUGUCCGGGUCAUUGUCCGGCUUUCCACC
rnacentral:SRP_RNA from 1 species